rnacentral:tRNA from 1 species
GGAGGAUAUAGCUCAGUGGUAGAGCACAUGCUUAGCAUGCAUGAAGUCCUGGGUUCAAUCCCCAGUACCUCCA